rnacentral:rRNA from 1 species
CUACGGGACGCUGCAGUGAGGAAUAUUGCACAAUGGAGGAAACUCUGAUGCAGCAACGCCGCGUGGAGGAUGACGCAUUUCGGUGUGUAAACUCCUUUUAUAUGUCAAGAAAAUGACGGUAGCAUAUGAAUAAGCACCGGCUAACUCCGUGCCAGCAGCCGCGGUAAUACGGAGGGUGCAAGCGUUACUCGGAAUCACUGGGCGUAAAGGACGCGUAGGCGGGAUAUCAAGUCAGGUGUGAAAUCCUACAGCUUAACUGUAGAACUGCACUUGAAACUGGUAACCUAGAGUAUAGGAGGGGAGAUGGAAUUAGUGGUGUAGGGGUAAAAUCCGUAGAUAUCACUAGGAAUACCUAAAGCGAAGGCGAUCUCCUGGAACAUAACUGACGCUAAGGCGUGAAAGCGUGGGGAGCAAACAGGAUUAGAUACCCGGGUAGUC